GUUAUAGGAUCAAGCGACUAAGUGCAUAUGGUGGAUGCCUUGGCGAUCACAGGCGAUGAAGGACGUAGUAGCCUGCGAAAAGCUGCGGGGAGCUGGCAAACAAGCUUUGAUCCGCAGAUGUCCGAAUGGGGAAACCCACUCCG
rnacentral:rRNA from 1 species